AGAAAUGUAGUCCUUAGCUAGACUACGUCUCUGAAACCACUUUUUAAGAUGCUGCUACCCAUUAGGGAGACUGGGGGACCACACAUGAACAGGACUUUAACAUAUUAAAAAUGAAAAAAUCUAAUAAUUAUGGCCCAAUUUCCCCUAUCCCUGAUUAUAUACCAAACUGAUACAUUACCAUGAAGCGAGAAACACACUGAUCUGGAACACAG